rnacentral:lncRNA from 1 species
GGGGGCCCGAGGAUUCUAGAGAGAGCACAGCCCAGGCACAGUGGGAGUCGCAGUGGCUGCCGCCGUGGCCGCGUAGCCCGAACGCAGAUCGUGGAAGCCGAAGACGCGGCAACGGUGGUCCCUCCAGAUGCCAGGGAAGGUUUGCAGGAAGCCGCUCCCGACACCCUUUGCGCCACCGGAAGCCUCGUUCCCUCAGAUUUCCCCCUCCCUCCCGGACCGACUUCCGGGUGUGGCUGCCGCCCUUCCCCCACCCACGCCGGCGGGAGCCGCCCGUUCGCGCUGCCAGCAGCUUCCGCCUGCUACGGUCCUGGCAAGCACCUCGGGAUCCCAUUCCUUCACAGGGACCCUAGCCAGUUAAAGCUGAUACAUUCCUGUGGGUCAACUAUGCAACUAACUCAGAUUUUGAGCAAACAAAGCUCUCAAGUUGGUGAUCCUCAGGAGUCUCUGCAUUAGUUGGACAGCUCUUCUGGAAUUAUCUUCUAAGUCAACUGUGGGUUGGGUAGGUGGCUCUGCUGAUUUUUCGCUGGACUUCCACAUUUGGGACGAGUUGGCUGUCAUCAGCUCUAGAAAGGGUGUGGCCGUUUUACAUUGGCUGUUUUCCUCACAUUCCUCAAGCAGGUACUGUAAUAAAGAACUGGAGAAAUACAGUCAGAUGGGAAGUAGCCCUUGCUGUCAAGGAGCUUGCCAUCUAAUGGGGGAGACAGGCAAGUAAACCAAAGACUACACAGUGCAGUAUGGUAAGUGCCAUGAUUUUGAUGUGACAGGGCACAGUGGACGACCUUCCAAAUCAAAGCAAGUAACUAGGGGUUGACAAUGGUAAGUAUCAUAGUUGAAGUAUCCUUGAACAAGGUUUCAGGAAGAAGAAGAAGGGAAUUUCAUGCAGGGAAACAGCCAAAGCUCAGUGAGUCAAAAUAUCACAGCAUUCUUGGUAAGCCCAAUUGUUUUUUCUGUUUUGCUAUUUUGGUGGAGAGAAAGGAACACAUAAAGGAAUAACAUGAGAGAAGGCUAUUUGGGGAAGUGUAGUAGUUAAGGUUCUGGCUCAAACAACAACUGCAGCUCAUAAAGUUGACUUUAGUGGAAGGAUACUGGGGUAUCUCAUGGAAUCUUGGGAACUGUUGAAUAACCAGGGAAACUCUGGGAAACUCACUGGUAGGAAUCCAUAAACUGUCCUCCUGGUGGGCUGUAAACAACUCACCCUCUAUGCAUCUCACAUCAAAAUUCCAGUUUCUUGGGAAAACAAGUCUGUUUGCCCAAUUUGGGUCAUAUUUCCACGUCCAUGUUACUCAGGCAUGAUUCAUCUGCAAGUUAUGUGUAUAGAUAUUUUGCUACUGUUCCACCCUUACGCUGUGCUGGGGAGGGAGGUGUCACUGUGAGCUGUGUCGGUGCCUUAAGAGAUAUCUGUUGUGUCUUAUUACUUGGUUGCUUUUCCCCACAUGUACAAUGACAAAAAUGCCUUCAACCUAUUUGAUCCAGCCGUUCCAGUACAACUCCUAUACUUGCCAUCUUUCCAAGCCCAAAGGUACAUCCAGCUGAUGGAAGGAGCAUCUUGGUGUUAAUAUUCUUUUAGUCAUGGUCUCUGAAAGUAAAAUGUCUAUUCUUCUAAUUCUGGCACAAUCUUAUCUAGCUAUAGUUCCUCAUGGUCCUGCACUCCAUGGACUAAAUUAUGAUGAAACUGAAACACAAAAAAUUUAGAUUAACUCUUAGGUGACAAAGCCAGGAUUGAAGCUCAUGCGGUCUGGCUCCAGAACAACUCUUCUUCAUAGUUACGUUAUACUGCCCCUGCAUUGUUGGUAUUGAAAAUAACUGAUACCGUGCUUCCAGAAGAUUUUUCUAACAGUGUUUGCAAGCUAUAAAAUAGUGCUUUCACUUAGAAAAGGCUAGACGUGGUGGUUCAUGCCUGUAAUCCCAGCACUUUGAGAGGCCGAGGCACCAUGCUGGGAGAUAAGGAUCCAACAUAAGACAAACAGUGCUGAUGCUUUUGGAAAGCUCAUAUUCAAGCUGGGGAGACAAACAACAUACAAGUGGCUGUAGCUACCUUCUGCAUAUGGAUAUCCAGUUUUCCCAGCACCACUUAUUAAAGAGACUGUCUUUUCUGCAGUGUAUAUUCUUGGCACCGUUGUUGAAAAUGAAUUCAUUGUAGGUGUGUGGGUUUGUUUCUGGGUUCUCUAUUCUGUUCAACUUGUCUAUGUGUCUGUUUUUAUGCCAGUACCGUGUCAUUUUAGUUACCAGAGCUCUGCAGUAUAAUUUGAAACCAGGUCAUGUGAUUCCUCCAGUUUUGUGGUAUUAGGAUAGGUUUGGCUAUUCUGAGUCUUUUGUGGUUCCAUAUAAAUUUUAGAAUUUUUUUUUUCUAUUUCUGUGAAGAAUGUCAUUGGUAUUUUGAUAGGGAUUGCGUUGAAUCUGUAGAUUGCUUUGGGUAGUAUGGACAUUUUAACAAUAUUCAUUCUUCUAAUCCAUGAACAUGGAAUACCUUUCCAUUUUUUGGUGUCCAUUUCAAUUUCUUUCAUCAGUCUUAUACUUUUCAUUAUAGAGAUCUUUCACUUCUUGGAUUAACUCCUAUGUAUUUAAUUUUACUUGUAGCUAUUGUAAAUGGGAUUACUUUUUUUUUUUUUUUUGACGGAGUUUCACCCUUGGCAUCCAGGCUAGUGUGCAAUGGCGCAACCUCAGCUCACUGCAACCUCCACCUCCCAGGUUCAAGCAAUUCUCCUGCCUCAGCCUCCUGAGUAGCUGGAAUUACAGGUGCCCGCCACCACACCCGGCUAAUUUUUGUAUUUUUAGUAGAGACAGGGUUUCACCACGUUGGUCAGGCUGGUCUUGAACUCCUGACCUCAGAUGAUCUGCCCACCUCGACCUCCCAAAGUGCUGGGAUUACAGGCAUGAGCCACCACUUCCAGCAAGGGAUUACUUUUUUAAUCUCUUUUUCAGAUUUUUCACUGUUGGCAUAUAGAAAUCCUACUAAUUUUUGUAUGUUGAUUUUGUAUCCUGGAACUUUACUGAAUCUGUUUAUAAUUUGUGUAUUUGUUUAUAGUAGUUUUUUGGUGGACUCUUUCAGUUUUUCCAAAUAUAAGAUCAUAUCAUUGGCAAACAAGGACAGUUUGAUUUCUUCUAUUCCAAUUUGGAUGCCUUUAUUUCUUUCUGUUGUCUGAUUGCUCUAGUUAGGACUUCCAGUACUAUGUUGAAUAACAGUGAUGAAAGUGGGCAUCCUUGCCAUGUUCCAGAUCUUAGAAAAGAGGCUUUCAGUUUUUCACCAUUCAGUUUGAUACUAGCUGUGGCAGCUUCCAUGAGAAUCACGCAGUUUGAAGAAGCAUUUCACUGAAAAAUAGGGAUUGCUGUUCUGGAAAGACAAAACAAUUGUCUACAAUUCUAAAGAAGAAGUGAACACAAUAAUUAAAUCAAUGUUAUUCUGGGUCUAAAGCUUAUAUUCUUAAUUACUAUAUUAUCCCAUCUUAAAAUUUUAAUUUGGAAAUUAUAUAUCUAAAUAUUAUAAUCAAUAAAGUUGAACACACAUGAUGAAGUGUGAAAAGAAGUAAAAAACAGAUGUGUGAAAUGAUUCCAUAAUUAUUAAUGUGCUUAUGUUUCAAAGAGUUUUCACAACCCAACAAAACUUACCCUCUCUGGGGCCUUUGUAAAAACAAACAACAACAACAAAAAACUCAUUCUCCAUUCUUCCACCUGCUCCACAAAACAAAAAUGCAUCUUAUUCACCUUAGAAUCCACAGGUACUUGGUAGAGGCUCAAAAAAUGUUUAUUUAGUAAAACCAAAAUGUCUUCCAAAAAAUAACAAUAGUUCUUUUCUUUUUCUUUUCUUUUCUUUUUUCUUUUUUCUUUUUUUUUUGAUACAG